AACCUGGUUGGGUGGUCUGCCUUCACGGUACGUACUGCUUGGCCGGGUUCUACCUCUUGGUGAGCCAGCAUGCCCUUCACUGGGUGUGUCGGGGAACCAGGACUUUUACCUUGAGAAAAUUAGAGUGUUCAACGCAGGCCGCCGCGCCUGGAUACAUCAGCAUGGGAUAAUGGAAUAGGA
rnacentral:rRNA from 1 species